UCUCCUCUCUCUCUCUCUCUCUUCCUCAAUCUCGCUUUCUCUCUUUCUCUCAAUCUCGUGCUCUCUCUCCUUUGAUCUUCUCAAAUUAGCACCUCUACUAUACAUGUAUAUGUACCUCUAUAUAUAUUAUGUAUAUGUUGUGAAUAUCAAUGUUUGAAAUUGAAUUUAUUCUGUUGAGGUCCGAGCAAGAAUCGAAGUAGACGUCCUCAACUUCCUCAAGAUCUUGAACUCUUCGACUCCGACAAUCUCAUAUUUCUUUGAUCAAUAGAAGAUGGAAUAAUAGCUGAGGGAUUGUUGACUGAUGUUUCGUGGAUUUUUCUUUCUCACUCGUUUUGCACGAGGUCUUUGAUGAGAGUUAACUAACACUGCUGAAUCUUUCAUUAGCUAUAUCGCUGUAGAUUCAGGAGCAGGGGUUUCCGGCGAAGCCUAGACAUACAGAGGUGAGUUUUAGUGGUAAUUUUUUUGUUUUUUUGUGAUCAAACUAUGCGGAUUUUGAAAUUGAGGGGUUUCUUUUGAGAUUUGUGUUGGUUGAUCUUGAGGAGGUGUGUUUACAGGGGACAUUGAUGCAUGUAUGAGACCGCGGUUAUUCGGUGACCGCCUCUGAAUUUUGGUGGAAUAUUCGUUCGUUGAAUUUCGAAUUUUGAGUUGUGUUAUUGUUGUUUGUAUUGUAUUGUAUUGUACUAGGGA